UACGGAGGAUGCAAGCGUUAUCCGGAUUUACUGGGUUUAAAGGGUGCGCAGGCGGAUAUGUAAGUCAGUGGUGAAAUCUCCGGGCUUAACCCGGAAAUUGCCGUUGAUACUAUAUAUCUUGAAUGCUGUGGAGGUAAGCAGAAUAUGUCAUGUAGCGGUGAAAUGCUUAGAUAUGACAUAGAAUACCUAUUGCGAAGGCAGCUUACUACGCAGAUAUUGACGCUCAUGCACGAAAGCGUGGGGAUCAAACAGG
rnacentral:rRNA from 1 species